rnacentral:lncRNA from 1 species
CAUUAGCAACCUUAAUCAAUUAUACAUAUCUAUUAAUUCAUAAAAUACCGUUUUAUCAUUUAUUAAGCUUUAAUGCCGUGAUAGGAUAUAGGGUGAGAGAUCCUUAUUUGAUUUGGAGUCUAAAAUCAAUUUUUCACUGUGCCUACGGGCAGUCCCUAGAUUCCCUGAAUUUUUUCUCCGGGAACUGAAACACACUUCCGGUACCUGCACAUGCCCCCAAAAAACUCCAAAUCAGACCCAGGGCCUCUUUGGCCAAUUUCAAAAUUUUGGCACAGCGGCUCCGCCGUGCUCCGGCGACAGCGCCGCCGCCCACGGCGGUGAUCCACCUCAAGUUGGC